GAAUAUGAAGCGAUAAAUUGCAACUAGUUUCGACCUAGUCUUAGGUGAUCUUUUAUUACCCUUAUUCU
rnacentral:tRNA from 1 species